rnacentral:rRNA from 1 species
GGACUACUAGGGUAUCUAAUCCUGUUCGCUCCCCACGCUUUCGCUCCUCAGCGUCAGUACAGGCCCAGAGAACCGCCUUCGCCACCGGUGUUCCUCCCGAUAUCUGCGCAUUUCACCGCUACACCGGGAAUUCCGUUCUCCCCUGCCUGCCUCUAGCCAGCCCGUAUCCACUGCAAGCCCGGGGUUGAGCCCCGGGAUUUCACAGCGGACGCAACUGGCCGCCUACGAGCUCUUUACGCCCAAUAAUUCCGGACAACGCUUGCGCCCUACGUAUUACCGCGGCUGCUGGCAC